UUGAAUUCUCGACGUAUUCAAGCUGUAAAUAAUGGGAACUUGGAGAUUUUCAGUGUAGCCAAUGAAACUCUUGAGGUAAUGAUAAGUUUUUUGUUUAUAUUUCAAACUAUAAAUUUGUGCUAUUAAUUUUUUGAUCAAUUUUAUUAGAUGGGAAAAGACGUGAAUAACCCAGAGGAGAACAACAUAGAUAGUCAUUUGGAUGGUGCACGUUCACAGGUAUUAUCUUUGAUUAAUACUUUGCCAUUUAUUAUUUUUAUAAUAAAUGUAAAAUAUGAUGGAUCUUAUUAUAAUUAUAUAGGAACAAGUGAUAACUAAAAGAAGGAGCAGCAAGAGGAAGAGAAAUUGCCAAUGAUCGUCGUCGUCACGUUGCCACAACUAAAUUUUCAUUAUUUCAUUGCAAGAUAAAUUUAGACAUCUUGGAAAUUUGAUUUAGAUUUUUGAACAAUGUUCGUAGGAAG
rnacentral:lncRNA from 1 species